UACGAAGGGGGCUAGCGUUGCUCGGAAUGACUGGGCGUAAAGGGCGCGUAGGCGGUCAGCACAAGUCAGUUGUGAAAUCUCCGAGCUUAACUCGGAAAGGUCAACUGAUACUGUGCGACUAGAGUGCAGAAGGGGCAACUGGAAUUCUUGGUGUAGCGGUGAAAUGCGUAGAUAUCAGGAAGAACACCCGUGGCGAAGGCGGCUCUCUGGGACGGUACUGACGCUGAGACGCGAAAGCGUGGGGAGCGAACAGG
rnacentral:rRNA from 1 species